GGCGGCGCCCGGCAUGGUCCGACACUAAAGGAAUUGGAAUCCUGUGCCUCUUGCCAUGCCUGCUCACGGAGGUUCUGCAAUGCUAAUCCUCCAGAGCUAAUUGCACCUCUCUCUCUCUCUCUCUCUCUCUCUCUCUCUCUGCACCAAAUCGUCCAGCGCUAAUUGCGCCUCUCUCUCUCUCUGCAACAAAUUAGCCAGUCGAAUAUGGUCAAUCACAAGUGAGUAUCUCUUUGAUUGCCUGCUUUUCGUGGGAUGAACAAGUUCUUUCUGAAUUAAAUAAACUAAAGGAUUGUUUGCUAGACCUUUUUCGAGGGCAUAAAAUAAAUCAGGUCUUCUGGUCCUGCCUUUGACAUCUGGGCAGCAAAUUUAGCUCUAAUAUUUGCCCCCAACAACUUGGUUCAUGCGUGGAUAAAAAAUAUUGUCUCUCUCUUUGUCUGUGAAGUCAUCAUAUUAUGAUGUGAUAUUGGCUUUCUCUUUGGUCUGAUUUAUUAAUGUGCAAAUACGACUGCGAAAACAUAUACAAUCCCUUGCCUCAUUUGAUAGAUGAACUACAUUGUAAAUAUGAAGCUAUCAGACUACCAACAGAACCGGAAAUUAUUAUGCUUGAUUUCUUUUCUGGAUUUUCUGACUUUUGAAGGCUCAUUUCAAAUACAGACAUUAUUGCAAUUGACCUGGAGUUCUCUGUGACACGAUCUAUACUAUUUUAUUCCUAUCUAGGCAUCAUUAUACUUGAUCUGGAAACUUCGAUGCAGCAUAGCAAGUAUUUGAAGAAUCUGAUAUGAUAUAAGAAGCUCAUAAAUCUGCGAAGGACCAUUGAGGCGGUAAACCUAGAGGCCAUCCAUUUUCUAUAGAUGAUAAAACCUCAUAGUAUACUAUGCCUGCUGUCCAUUGCUGAAUGUUGUUAAUGUUUGAAGCUCUGCUAUGUUCCUUUGUACUGACAGCAUGCCAUUGAAGGUGUUUGUAAAGAAUCAGAAGUCAAGGGUGUACUCCAAACGUUUCCAAGUCAAGCUCAAAAGAAGGCGAUGUAAGUUUGAUCAAUCCCGUGACAUGGUGAAUUUGGCACUACAGUCAUAAGAUGGCAUUGUUUUGGAUGGACUGCUUUCUUUGGUACACUUGUUGCAGAGGGUAAGGCUGAAUACAGGGCCAGGUUGAGGCUCAGCGACCAGGACAAGAACAGAUCUUCAAUUUGGUGCUCCUCCACGCUCCUCUUUUGAUUAGAUUUUCCAGUGCGGUAAUUGGAUCAAGUUCAGAACAUCUACAGUAUGUCUAUGGAAAUAUGGAUUUGUCUGUUAAGAUUUUAGUAGAGGGAUUUGUGUUAAGAUUUUAGUAGAGUAAUUGGAUCUGAAGUUCACAACCUAUGUAAUGUACUGAUGCGUUGGUUAUGUACGAAAUACAAUGUUCAGUCAAGAUCUA